AGCGCGCUAGCUGCUGCGCGCGCACCGUACUUGGGCACAGGCGCACGUGGCUAGCAAGCUUGACGCACAUAUCUAGCUAUAGCUAGCUGUACAUGUACAGUACAUGACAUGUCAUACGAACAAGUCUCGCAGCGCCUACACUGUGUAUGUGUGUUGGGCCUGUUUUGGCUUAGUUGAAGUGGAAGCUGGCUGGUUGCAGAGCUGGCGACGUGUUUUGGAAACCCAACUUAGGAUGCAUUUGGAUUCAUUUGAAGUCAAAAACUCUGCCCUCGAGCGCGAGCUGGAGUAGAAACAGGUCGAGGCAGUCAAACCACCGUUCACUCAGCAGCCGAGUGUGCACAGGUACAGUGGUAGGCUAUGUGAGCAUGGCGACCAAGUCUGAACAACUUCAGGAUGUAAAAUUACUGGUACACCAGCAAAAACUGAAGACACCCCAAUUAUGCCCCAAGAUUCACUGACAUUGCCAACAUCCUCAGUCGAGUUGCAUUUCACCAGUUCAAGCCAUCAAGGAGGUUUGCCAGACAUCGAAUGGCAUCUGCUGGUAGUGAAUAGGAUUCACGACACAUCUCAUCUACAGUUUCUACAUCUGUACACUGAAGGGAGUUCUACCCCUGUAAGAAGUCUAGAGUAGCUGAAAACCUUAGGCCUCUCAGUGGAAGAUGCACUUGUUAAUCAAGAACCUACCCAUCCACACCUUUGAAGAGUGGCAGUUCACUCAACGAUCUGUACUUCAGAUGAGGAAUAGACUCCCCAUAACAUUGGUAGCUGAUGCUACCUGUGCCUCCUAGCUUGCAUAAGGAACUUAUGUUGACCCUUCUGGUGGGAGUUCACAACGCAUCAUGUACCACAACAGUCAUCAGCACCCCUCAUGCUGUGACAUUCCUUCUUGUUGGACAAGGCAAAGGAGGGAGUGUCUCCACUCUUCCUGGAGUACAACACUGUGACCACGCUGACAUCACAGAUGAAUAUGUAAGUUAUAACAACCUUCUUGUCAGUCCGAGGAGAAGCUGUGCAAGGAUGGCGAAAUGAAAU